rnacentral:tRNA from 1 species
GGAGGGGUAGCGAAGUGGCUAAACGCGGUGGACUGUAAAUCCGCUCCUUCGGGUUCGGCAGUUCGAAUCUGCCCCCCUCCA